rnacentral:rRNA from 1 species
UAGGGAAUCUUCCGCAAUGGGCGAAAGCCUGACGGAGCAACGCCGCGUGAGUGAUGAAGGUCUUCGGAUCGUAAAACUCUGUUAUUAGGGAAGAACAAAUGUGUAAGUAACUAUGCACGUCUUGACGGUACCUAAUCAGAAAGCCACGGCUAACUACGUGCCAGCAGCCGCGGUAAUACGUAGGUGGCAAGCGUUAUCCGGAAUUAUUGGGCGUAAAGCGCGCGUAGGCGGUUUUUUAAGUCUGAUGUGAAAGCCCACGGCUCAACCGUGGAGGGUCAUUGGGAACUGGAAAACUUGAGUGCAGAAGAGGAAAGUGGAAUUCCAUGUGUAGCGGUGAAAUGCGCAGGGAUAUGGAGGAACACCAGUGGCGAAGGCGACUUUCUGGUCUGUAACUGACGCUGAUGUGCGAAAGCGGGGGGAUCAAACAGG